rnacentral:rRNA from 1 species
UGGGGAAUAUUGGACAAUGGGCGGAAGCCUGAUCCAGCAACGCCGCGUGAGGGAUGACGGCCUUCGGGUUGUAAACCUCUUUCAGUACCGACGAAGCGAAAGUGACGGUAGGUACAGAAGAAGGACCGGCCAACUACGUGCCAGCAGCCGCGGUAAUACGUAGGGUCCGAGCGUUGUCCGGAAUUAUUGGGCGUAAAGGGCUCGUAGGCGGUUUGUCGCGUCGGGAGUGAAAACAGCGGGCUUAACUCGUUGCUUGCUUUCGAUACGGGCAGACUAGAGGUAUGCAGGGGAGAAUGGAAUUCCUGGUGUAGCGGUGAAAUGCGCAGAUAUCAGGAGGAACACCGGUGGCGAAGGCGGUUCUCUGGGCAUUACCUGACGCUGAGGAGCGAAAGUGUGGGGAGCGAACAGGAUUAGAUA